rnacentral:rRNA from 1 species
GUUGAACGCUGGCGGCAUGCCUAACACAUGCAAGUCGAGCGGAUGAAGGGAGCUUGUUCCUGGCUUCAGCGGCGUACGGGUGAGUAAUGCCUAGGCAUCUUCCUGGUUGUGGGGGCUAACGUCCGGAAACGGGCGCUAAUACCGCAUACGUCCUGAGGGAGAAAGUGGGGGAUCUUCGUACCUCACGCUAUCAGAUGAGCCUAGGUCGGAUUAGCUAGUUGGUGGGGUAAAGGCCUACCCAGGCGACGAUCCGUAACUGGUCUGAGAGGAUGAUCAGUCACACUGCAAGUGAGAAACGGUCCAAACCCCGAGGGGAGGCAGCAGGGGGGAAUAUUGGACAAUGGGCGAAAGCCUGAUCCAGAGAGGCCGCGUGUGUGAAGAAGGGCUUCGUGAUGUAAAGCACUUUAUGUUGGGAGGAAGGGCAGUAAGUUAAUACCGUGCUGUUUUGACGUUACCAACAGAAUAAGCACCGCCUAACUUCGU